rnacentral:rRNA from 1 species
AGCGAACGCUGGCGGCAGGCCUAACACAUGCAAGUCGAACGAUCCUUCGGGAUAGUGGCGGACGGGUGAGUAACACGUGGGAACGUGCCCUUUGGUACGGAACAACUCAGGGAAACUUGAGCUAAUACCGUAUGAGCCCUUCGGGGGAAAGAUUUAUCGCCAUUGGAGCGGCCCGCGUCUGAUUAGCUAGUUGGUGAGGUAAAGGCUCACCAAGGCUACGAUCAGUAGCUGGUCUGAGAGGAUGAUCAGCCACAUUGGGACUGAGACACGGCCCAAACUCCUACGGGAGGCAGCAGUGGGGAAUCUUGCGCAAUGGGCGAAAGCCUGACGCAGCCAUGCCGCGUGAAUGAUGAAGGUCUUAGGAUUGUAAAAUUCUUUCACCGGGGACGAUAAUGACGGUACCCGGAGAAGAAGCCCCGGCUAACUUCGUGCCAGCCGCCGCGGUAACAC